AACGUUGGCGGCGUGCUUAAUACAUGCAAGUCAACUGAAGCACCGGUAGUAAUACUGGUGUGGAGGUGGCGCACGGGUGAGUAACACGUAGGUAAUCUGCCUUCAGGUCUGACAUAACCCCGAGAAAUCGGGGCUAAUAGCAGAUGAUGCAGCGGCUUGACAUCAAGACAGUUGUUAAAGCUUCGGCGCCUGAAGAUGAGCCUGCGUCUGAUUAGCUAGUUGGCGGAGUAAUAGCCCACCAAGGCGACGAUCAGUAGCUGGUCUGAGAGGAUGAUCAGCCACACUGGAACUGAGACACGGUCCAGACUCCUACGGGAGGCAGCAGUAAGGAAUAUUGCUCAAUGGGAGAAAUCCUGAAGCAGCAACGCCGCGUGAGGGAUGAAGGGCUUUUGCUCGUAAACCCCUGUAGUGAGGGAAAAAUUUCCAUUCUAUGGAAUAUGAUGGUACCUCAAAAGUAAGCCCCGGCUAACUACGUG
rnacentral:rRNA from 1 species